UACGUAGGGACCGAGCGUUGUCCGGAAUCAUUGGCGUAAAGAGCGUGUAGGCGGCCCUUAAGUCCUGCGUGAAAUCCUCGCGGCUCAACCGGCAGACGGUCGUGGGAAACUGGAGGCUAGAGUGCGGGAGAGGAGGAGUGGAAUUCCCGGUGUAGCGGUGAAAUGCGCAGAUAUCGGGAAGAACACCCGUGGCGAAGGCGGCUCUCUGGAACGCAACUGGACGCUGAGACGCGAAAAGCGUGGGGAGCAAACAGGG
rnacentral:rRNA from 1 species